rnacentral:tmRNA from 24 species
GGGAGCGACUUGGCUUCGACAGGAGUAAGUCUGCUUAGAUGGCAUGUCGCUUUGGGCAAAGCGUAAAAAGCCCAAAUAAAAUUAAACGCAAACAACGUUAAAUUCGCUCCUGCUUACGCUAAAGCUGCGUAAGUUCAGUUGAGCCUGAAAUUUAAGUCAUACUAUCUAGCUUAAUUUUCGGUCAUUUUUGAUAGUGUAGCCUUGCGUUUGACAAGCGUUGAGGUGAAAUAAAGUCUUAGCCUUGCUUUUGAGUUUUGGAAGAUGAGCGAAGUAGGGUGAAGUAGUCAUCUUUGCUAAGCAUGUAGAGGUCUUUGUGGGAUUAUUUUUGGACAGGGGUUCGAUUCCCCUCGCUUCCACCA